CUUCAGCACAUCCCACGUCCCCACCUAUGCUUCUUUAAGCAUCAACUUUCAGAGCCUAACCCUAGCGUUGCUAACUUGCUACUCAAUACUCACGAAGUCACAAGUCUCACACUCUCACAACUACAAAAACUCCCCCUACAGCCGUUGUUGCCUCGCUGCCGUUGCUGCCUCCGCUUCCGUUGCCGUCGCCGCUGUUGUUGCUAACACCGCUGUCAUUGCGGUCGUUCCACCCUUGCUGCUCACGUCGCGUUGCCGAACUCUUUAAACACCGGCACCAUCAGAUUCCUCUAUAUGUAAGGUCCUUUAUAAUUUAAUUAUUCUCAUUUUUUCCAGUUCUCAUAUUCAUAUGAUUUUCAAUCAAUUGAUUUUAGCUAUUUCAUAUAUUGAGAUCAAUUGGUUAAUUCAUUAUUUGGGAUUAUUGAAUUGUUUUGGAGAUUCAAUGUUAAAGCUUGCGUUUUUUUCUUCUAAUUAUCGUAUUUUAUGCAUGAUUUUUUGUUAUAUAUUUUGCGGGGUUCUUGUUUUCAUGGAAUCUGUUUGAUUAAUUUUAUAAUGGAGUGCUUGAAAUGCAGAUCCUUUUAAGAGCUAAUCACUUUUGAGAUCCCAACCCAUUUUUUUUUGUCAAUUUACUACUGUAAUGUACUAGAACUAGAAUAAUGUUGAAAUUAUGGUGUUGUAGAAAAUUGCCAUUACACUCAUGGGCAAUUACAUUAGUGGAUGUAAGCUAUGUAAAACAAUAAUUUUAUUCCUAAACUUUUGGUUUAGUCGUUCACUUUCUUUUAAUGUUCAUGAAUGACUUUUACAUUAUAUUAUAUUAUAUUAUAUUAUAUAUAUGAAUAUGAUUCAUUCCUAAAGUUUUAUGCUACUUCCACAAUUCCCUAAUAAUGUCAAGCAAUUGAAGGUGGGUUUAUUGUCAAUAGCUACCAGUUUAUUAGAAAGGUAUUUUUCUUUGCAAAGAAUAUGUCAUUUGAUGCCAAGAUCCUCAUUAUCUUAUUGUAGCCCCCAAGAUCAGAAGUGAUUGCAUAUGUUGUUGAGUUCUCUUGAUAUAUAUUUCAUGUUUGUAGUUCUGACAUAGACAAUGAUCAGAUGAAUGGCUUAUGUGCUCUUCUUUGCAGUAAUACUUAAGAUAAUCCUGCUCACAAGAAAUUGGAACUAGUCUUUUGAAAUUAUUUGUUUGAAUACUAGAUAUAUGUAGGAAUCACCCCACCCUCUUCUAUAAUUAUAAAUCAUACAAAUUGAUGUACGCUUUUCUAAAUAUCCAAUGUUGUUGAAAGUCGAGCUUUUUAUUUUUGGGCAAUAUAAAUCUGAACACUUAUGCUACUGUGGAAUAUUAAACAAGUUUCUAUCAUUAGUUGGUGAUGAUAUCAUUGCUCUUUAUGUUGCAGAUGACAAUUUUAUUGCGAUUAUAGUGUUAUGGAUGGUUUUAAUUAUCGAAUUAGCUGAAAUUGUACGGAUUUGGGUUUGACCCAUGCUCAUGACUAAUAUUAGUUUGAUCAUAUAAGGAGGAAUAUACGAGUAACAAAUUUUUGUUUGUUGGGAUACUUCAUGAUACUUGAAAUUCAUAAGCUUUGAUUAUAAGUAUAGUGUUCUGCCUCCUUUUUCCCUUCUCAUUAGUGCGUGUACAUUCAUCUUAUACACGCUUUUCAAUUUAUAUGUGUGCUUGUAUAUAUGCCUGGAUUGGUGUGAUGUGCAAUCGAAUCAAUAGAAAAACUGAAGAUGAAGUUAGUUAAAUUAUCUUGGUGUUCUUUGGUAUACUUUUUAUGGCUUUUUAGGCUGUGAAUCUUGUAGGCUGGUCUUAUAAUUACUUAAGUGUUGAACCCCCCGUUCUUCCUAGAGCUAACCCUAUGAUGCUUUGAUGAAGAAUAUAAGAAAAAUACGGAAUUGAAGUGCCCUACUCUGGUGAUAUAUGCUUUGCUGCUAUUAUUACUAAAUAGGUGCUUCUAUCGCCACCAAACUGUUGCUGGUGUUGCUGUUGUCAAAUUGUUGUUGUUGCUGCUACCAAACUAUCGUUGUUUCCACAACACUAUUACUGCUCCUAUUGUCACGACACUGCUGCUGAUGCACCGACGGUUAAAGCAUAUUGAUCAAAGCUAUUAUAUAAAUUUUAUACUAGUUUGUUAUUUUUUAUACUUGUAAAUUAUAUUACAUUGUAUAUUGUAAAUUAUACUUUGCGAAAUUGUAACAUUUAUGUAUGUAUAGAAACUUUUAUCAA